rnacentral:rRNA from 1 species
UACAGAGGUCCCGAGCGUUGUUCGGAUUCAUUGGGCGUAAAGGGUGCGUAGGCGGUUUGCUAAGUUUGAUGUGAAAUCCCGGGGCUUAACCCUGGAAUUGCAUUGAAUACUGGCGGACUAGAGUCCUGGAGAGGAAACUGGAAUUUACGGUGUAGCAGUGAAAUGCGUAGAUAUCGUAAGGAAGACCAGUGGCGAAGGCGAAUCUCUGGACAGUUACUGACACUGAGGCACGAAGGCCAGGGGAGCAAACGGG